AUGGUACUCCCUCCGUCCCAAAAUUCUUGUCUUAGAUUUGUCUAAAUACGGAUGUAUCAAGUCACAUUUUAGUAUUAGAUACAUCCGUAUCUAGACAAAUCUAAGACAAGAAUUUUGAGACGGAGGGAGUACCAA
rnacentral:pre_miRNA from 1 species